rnacentral:lncRNA from 10 species
GCCCUGUCCCGCCGCGUCGCGGCCUCUCCGCACCCCACGUCCCGGGAGCCGACCGGGAGACUCUCACGGCGGAGUUCCACAGACCUCGUUAGGUUAAAGGAACCUCGCCUUGCCCCCCACUAAUCGGCUAGAGAGGGAGGCCGGCGAAACAAAAGCCGUAGAGGAAAAUUAAGCGACUUCCCCCUCGGCGGGGAACUUGGAGGUGGGGGAGCGGGGAGCGGCGCGGGGCGCAAGGAGAAGGAAGUGCUGAGCUGGGUUGCCGACGAACCCCGGGCAGGGGGAGGUGGGGGGCUGCGGCAGAAGAAAGACAAACAUCUGGGGAUCGGACCAUAUGCCGGAGCUUUGUCUUGUCCUUCAAAGUUCGGCUGCCCUUGAAGUGAUUUGUCAGGCGGCCCACGGGUGACAGGGAGGAUGUGCAGCGGGGAGCGGGGGCGGGACAUGCCGGGGGGAGCGGAGAGGGCUAGAAGAGAGGGGAGGAAGGGGGGACGCCAACAAGAGGGGGAGCAAAGUGACCCCGCCGCCCGAGGAACGGUAGAAACCGGGAUCGCGGAGGUGCGAGCCCGAGCCCGGGAGCGGAGCGCUUCCCGGGGAGACGCCAAGACGGCGAGAAAGGAGGAGCGGGAACGCAGAGGUUAAGCGGAGGGAAGGCCGAGGAGAAACAGCCAGAGGACGGGAAGGAGGAAAUAGACGGGGAGAAGAAACUGAAGAUUAGUCGUUGAGGUGUAUUAAGAAAGAGGACAUGUCGCCUAUUUUAGGAAAAGUGGCUUUGAGCUCCCCCCGCACCCCCACCAUUUUUUCUUUCUCUUUUGCCCGCCAACCGCUGAACUGAUUAGACUGUAAUUAAGGCCAUAAAGCCCUCAGAUUAUACACCUGUUUAUUCACUGAAGUCGGGGUCUCAUCAAGCAAAUUAGCUGCUUGCAGGCUACACAUUGGGCCUCGAGCUUGCCUGAUUAAUGAAGUUUAUUGGGAGCUGUUAAAAGCAUUAACUGGAGAAAAUCUCAGCAAUUCGUCAUAUUUAAGGGAUGAAAAUUAAAUCUUGCUAUGCAAAUGAGAAAAAAAUUUUAAACCAUCUUUGGGGGGUUACUGUCUGCAUAUUAUUUUGCUUUAAAAUUCUGUUCAGGAAAUAGGAAUUAACAUGAAAUAUUAUUUGCCCUUAAAGUUAUCAAAAAUAUUGAAUCGCACCUUAUGUGGCAUUGUGGGGAGAGAAAAAGAAAACAUAAGGAAAUUCCCAUAUAGUCCGUUUCCCAGUGCAAAGAAUUUUCUAAGACACCUAAUCACAAAGCCAACUUUCACGAGAAACCCAGUUUUUAAAAUUAAUGUAUCCAGUUACAGAAUGAGAUUUGGGAGUAGUCCUUCAAGGGGUUUAAUGUUUGAUGGUGGGUGGGGGGGACGAUGAAAUCAGCAGAGAGAGGAGGGGAGUUCAUGUAAGUGCCCUGGAUAAGGAGCACGUGUGAGAAUGGCAGAAAAGCAGUAGAGUGGCAAGAAAAAGUAUCCAAAAUGAAUCAAUACUCUCAUAAACUGGCUGUAGAAAAUGUUUCUGUACAGUGUUUUUUACUGUAACCACUAUGGUUCUUUGGACAGGUCGGGGAAGGUGUGAUUAUGAAAAUAAACAAGGGAAGUGAGGGAAAUAUAACCAAGUGGAAAAAGGAAAUGGAGUGCAAAUUGAGAACAUAAUCCAGAAUUCGUAAAAGUGGUAUGGAUAAAGAAGGUCAAAAUGGUCUCUGAUGAAAAGAAACUUUUAAAAUGCUUGGAAAAGUUAAUGAAUUAGAUUUCCCUGCACUUGAAGAUAUUAGGAUUGGGAGAUCAAGACUCCCAUCAGCCAAAUCAAGAAUAUUCACAAUUGACAGGAAAACUCAAAGUUUCUUUUUCCCCACCAGAGAAAUGUCUCCCACCCCCAUAGCUAAACAGUGGUAAGUCAUAGAAAUGAUUAUAUUAGCUUAAAGAGAAUGUUUCCUAAGCAAUAAACUUCAAGUGCACACAACCUAGUUUUUAUUUUAUUUAUUUCAUGUAGUUUGUCAUAAGUGCUUGAAAAUACUUCUUGCAAAAAUGUCCUUUUUAACUUUAUAAAACUUGUUUUCUGCUGUGGAUAAAAUUACUAUGUGAUAAACUAUAGUUUUUUUUUAAAGUCUUUGCAGCAAUAAUGAAAGUUCAAUGAAAAGAACAUAACUAGAAGCGAUGUGCAACACCCCUUUAUUUUUAAAUAGCCUUUAAAUGAUUUACGAAAUAAAAAUGCUAGUUCAGUUUCCCUUAAAUAACCAGUAUUUCACCAAAUAUUUUCUGCGUUCUUAAAUGUUCAAA